GAGGAGAGGAAAGGAGAGGAGAGGACAAAUCCUGAGGGAGAGUUGUUCGAGGCAAUGAAGGGGGGCAGAAGAGGGCAUUGGAGAAGAGCAAGGCUCUCUUUCUUCGGAAAAGAUACCCCUCCACUGAGGAGAAGUCAGAGCUGUUGGUGAGGGGGCUUCAGAUGAAGACGGUGAACAAAUGGUUCAUUAAUUACCGAUACACCAUGUUUCUUGAACUGCGGAGGCGGGCAGCAAAGAAAAUCAAAAUGGAGAGCACUGAGGCUGAUGUGGAGCGCUUGGUGGCGAGGGGCACAAACCUGGCCUUUGCC